rnacentral:rRNA from 1 species
UACGAAGGGGGCUAGCGUUGCUCGGAAUCACUGGGCGUAAAGCGCACGUAGGCGGAUUGUUAAGUCAGGGGUGAAAUCCUGGAGCUCAACUCCAGAACUGCCUUUGAUACUGGCGAUCUCGAGUCCGGGAGAGGUGAGUGGAACUGCGAGUGUAGAGGUGAAAUUCGUAGAUAUUCGGAAGAACACCAGUGGCGAAGGCGACUUACUGGACACAUAUUGACGCUGAGGUGCGAAAGCGCGGGGAGCAAACAGG